rnacentral:rRNA from 1 species
GAUCAUGGCUCAGGAUGAACGCUGGCGGCGUGCCUAACACAUGCAAGUCGAACGAAGCUUGACGGAUGAUUUCUUCGGAAUGAAACCAGAUAUGACUUAGUGGCGGACGGGUGAGUAACACGUGAGCAACCUGCCUUUCAGAGGGGGAUAACGGCUGGAAACGGUCGCUAAUACCGCAUGAUGUGUUCGGAUGGCAUCAUCUGAACAUCAAAGAUUUAUCGCCGAAAGA